rnacentral:tRNA from 1 species
AAAGAUUUUAAAAUAAAGAAGCUGCUAACUAUCUUUAAAAGCAUUAUUAAUGUUUAAUCUUUU